GAUCCUACGGGGCGCAGCAGUGGGGAAUAUUGCACAAUGGGGGAAACCCUGAUGCAGCAACGCCGCGUGAAGGAAGACGGUUUUCGGAUUGUAAACUUCUAUCAAUAGGGAAGAAAGAAAUGACGGUACCUAAAUAAGAAGCCCCGGCUAGCUACGUGCCAGCAGCCGCGGUAAUACGUAGGGGGCAAGCGUUAUCCGGAAUUACUGGGUGUAAAGGGAGAGUAGGCGGCAAGGUAAGCGAUAUGUGAAAGCCUUAGGCUUAACUUGAGGAUUGCAUAACGAACUAUCUAGCUAGAGUAAAGGAG
rnacentral:rRNA from 1 species